GCGCCUUGCCAGCCCGCUACAGAAACUUAAAGGAAUUGACGGGGGCCCGCACAAGCAGCGGAGCGUGUGGUUAAUUCGAUGAUACACGAAGAACCUUACCCAGGCUUGACAUGUUGGUGGUAGGGAUCCGAAAGGUGACCGACCCUUCGGGGAGCCUUCACAGGUGCUGCAUGGCUGUCGUCAGCUCGUGUCGUGAGAUGUCCGGUUAAGUCCGGUAACGAGCGCAACCCUCGCUGUGUGUUAUAUGUGUCACACGGGACUGCCGGUAUCAAGCCGGAGGAAGGUGGGGAUGACGUCAAGUCAGCAUGGCCUUUAUGUCUGGGGCUACACACACGCUACAAUGGCCAGUACAAUAGGUUGCAAGACCGCGAGGUGGAGCCAAUCCUUAAAGCUGGUCUCAGUUCGGAUUGCAGGCUGCAACUCGCCUGCAUGAAGUCGGAGUUGCUAGUAACCGCGCGUCAGCCAUAGUGCGGUGAAUACCGUUCCCGGGCCUU
rnacentral:rRNA from 1 species